AAGAAUAUAAAGCAAAGAAGUCCUACACUGGUGGCAUCUCCACUUUAAUGUCAUCUCCAUUACAUCGACAGAGUCCUAGCUGUCAACUGGAGACACUCUACAGCAUCUGAUUGGUUCAAAUCAGAUAUAAAGCAUGGCUGCUGUUGCUUUGGACAUUCCAAGUUUACCUGGAUUUGAUGAUAUUUUCUUUGGAAUCAGACGAGACAGCAUAGAAUACACACCUGUGUUUGAAAGGAGACCCUUGGACACUGAGGAUGGUGGAUAAC
rnacentral:lncRNA from 1 species